UUGCACGCUGGCGGCAGGCCUAACACAUGCAAGUCGAACGGUAACAGAAAGCAGCUUGCUGCUUUGCUGACGAGUGGCGGACGGGUGAGUAAUGUCUGGGAAACUGCCUGAUGGAGGGGGAUAACUACUGGAAACGGUAGCUAAUACCGCAUAACGUCGCAAGACCAAAGAGGGGGACCUUCGGGCCUCUUGCCAUCGGAUGUGCCCAGAUGGGAUUAGCUAGUAGGUGGGGUAAAGGCUCACCUAGGCGACGAUCCCUAGCUGGUCUGAGAGGAUGACCAGCCACACUGGAACUGAGACACGGUCCAGACUCCUACGGGAGGCAGCAGUGGGGAAUAUUGCACAAUGGGCGCAAGCCUGAUGCAGCCAUGCCGCGUGUAUGAAGAAGGCCUUCGGGUUGUAAAGUACUUUCAGCGGGGAGGAAGGGAGUAAAGUUAAUACCUUUGCUCAUUGACGUUACCCGCAGAAGAAGCACCGGCUAACUCCGUG
rnacentral:rRNA from 1 species